rnacentral:rRNA from 1 species
GACGAACGCUGGCGGCGUGCCUAACACAUGCAAGUCGAACGGGACCGGGGGCAACUUCGGUUCAGUGGCGGACGGGUGCGUAACACGUGAGGAACAUGACCUUCGGCGGGGGAUAGCCGGCCCAACGGCCGGGUAAUACCGCGUACGACCAUUCGGGGACAUCCCUGGCUGGUGAAAGCAGCAAUGCGCCGAUGGAGUGCCUCGCGGCCUAUCAGCUAGUUGGUGGGGUAACGGCCUACCAAGGCAACGACGGGUAGCUGGUCUGAGAGGAUGGCCAGCCACAGUGGGACUGAGACACGGCCCAGACUCCUACGGGAGGCAGCAGUGGGGAAUAUUGCGCAAUGGACGAAAGUCUGACGCAGCGACGCCGCGUGUGGGAUGAAGGUCUUCGGAUUGUAAACCACUGUCGGGAGGGACGAAUACGCCGCAAGGCGGGUGACGGUACCUCCAAAGGAAGCACCGGCUAACUCCGUGCCAGCCGCCGCCGUAA